AGAGAGAGAGAGAGAGCUGAAAGGACGAUAAAGAAUAUAAAGGAGGACUGGGAAAUGUUUGCUGAAUAUUUUCAGAACCAGUAUAAACAAGUGAAUAACCUAGCAGGUCUUGAGUAAAUCCAGCAGAAUAGAAGUUAAUGGGGUUUAUGACCGAUGAAGAAAUUUGAAUAUUUCUUCAAUAUGAAGAAUUUGGAAUAUUCCAUUUAAUAGAAAAAUAAAAAGAACCAGGAAAAGGGUGGAAGGGAAGUCACCGCGUAUUGAGUUGUAUGUCGAGAUUGAUAUGAAAGUUGUACAACUGGUGUGGGAGGAAGGGGGUGUGGGAUGUGUUUGUUUGUUUGUUUUUCUGUCUCUGUAUUAAAAAUGCAAAUAAUAAAUAAAUAAAUAGAAGGUUUGAUAUUAAAAAAAACCAAACAGCAUAAUCCUGUUGCCUACUCAAAAGUAAGCCUCAACGAGACUUAUUCCUAAAGAAGUGGGGGUAUAUGGGGUUUUAACUGGCCCAUUGCUUGAUUUUGUGUUACCUGGCUCUGAUUUUAAUUGUGAUUGUUGUUUUUUAAUUUGUAUUACUUUUAUUUGCUUUAGAAACAGAUCUGGGACCUUUCAUUAGGGUAAAAAACAUUUUUUAAAAAAUCUCAUAGAUUAAAAGCAAUAGGGGGUUGCAUCGUAGCUCAACAAACUGGAUAUCGAGGAAACCCCAUGGGCUACAGUCAAACUUUAUUUUGAAUUGGUGAGGCCUAUCUGACAACAGCAAGAACAUCAUUCAGUAUCAUUGUCCCAGGCCUGUAGAAUCUUCUGCCCAUAGAGAUUUAGCAGGUGUCUUCUGAUUUGACUUUUAAACACCUGCUGCCAUGCUUCUGCAAGCAAUUAAGAAUAAAUAUUUCUGCAGUAAUUAGCUGGAUUAUGUUUCUAACUUUUUAAUAUGGUUUAUUGUAUGGCUUUUAUGAACUAUUGUUGCAAACCACUCUGGUAUUUUUUAAAACGAAUGACAGCAUAUAAAUAUUUUAUCAAUAAAUAAAACAUUUGGGUUUGGUUAAA